rnacentral:rRNA from 1 species
UACGUAGGUGGCAAGCGUUGUCCGGAUUUACUGGGCGUAAAGAGCGCGCAGGCGGUCGAUUUAGUCGCGUGUGAAAGCCCCCGGCUCAACUGGGGAGGGUCACGCGAUACUGAUCGACUCGAAGGCAGGAGAGGGUAGUGGAAUUCCCGGUGUAGUGGUGAAAUGCGUAGAUAUCGGGAGGAGCACCAGUGGCGAAAGCAGCUCUCUGGGACGGUACUGACGCUGAGACGCGAAAGCGUGGGGAGCGAACAGG